rnacentral:rRNA from 1 species
GACGAACGCUGGCGGCGUGCCUAAUACAUGCAAGUCGAACGCAGUUGCGGACGGAUGAGUAACGCGUAGGUAACUGCCUCAUAGCCGGGGGUAACUAUUGGAAACGAUAGCUAAUACCGCCUACUGUGAGAUGGACCUGCGUUGUAUUAGGUAGUUGGUGAGGUAAAGGCUUACCAAGGCGACGAUACAUAGCCGGCCUGAGAGGGUGGUCGGCCACAAUGGGACCGGGGCAAGGCUCAGAAUCCCUAGGGAGGCAACAAUAGGGAAAUUUCGGCAAAGGGCGGAAGUCUGAACGAGGCAAGCCGGGGGGGUGAAGAAGGUUUUCGGAGCGGAAAGCUAUGUUGUUAGAGAAGCGGUAACUAAACAGAAAGGAACGGCUAACUACGUGCCAGCAGCCGCGGUAAUUC